UUAAGCAAAUUUCUCAACACUUAUAUGAAAUUUUCAACAAAAACCAAAUUGUGCAAGUUUGUUGCCUCCAACCAAACUAUUGCAAAAUUUCUCCAAGCAAAAUCCACUUCCAACACAUUGUUACCCCAAGCCUUGACCAAAAAGGAAUACCUUUUGUUUAUGGUUGAAAUGCUCAAUUCAAUGGACUCUGAAUCAGAAGACGAAAAGUAAAAAACAUCAUGAAUCAAAACGGUCAAUCUUGCAGAUGAAACUACAACGACGACAUUCACUAAAACUUAGAAGAAGUUAUCUACAAAAAGAAGUCUGGAAACACGAAUCAACAAACACCGGUACAGUACAAGCCCAAAAUCUCGACAAAAAAGUGAAGAUAGUGGGUUGCAUGAAGAUUUGGGCAUAGGCACAAGAAAUUGACGUACAAAGGCUUUUUAGACUUUGGGAUUAUUUUCUAUUUUUAUUUGUAAAAAAUAUAUUUUUAGGAGUUCAAUUAAGAUUGAAUUUUAUCAUUUAUCUUUUAUUUAGAUAGAUAAAUAUUUUAUCUUAACGAGUGUUUAGGAGUAAAACUAGGCAUUUGUUUUCAGCUGAAAAAGAGGAGGUUUGAGGUUGUACCUCAAUCACUAUAAUUGACUUAUUGAUGGGUGAGAAGAUACUUAUAAUUAGUGAUCAAUUGUGAAACUGAGUCUAUCAUUACAUCGGAGGUCGGAGCUUUUAUUAAUUGAUUUUAUUCUACUUAUUUUUAAAAUUACUAUUUA